rnacentral:rRNA from 1 species
UACAGGGGUCUCGAGCGUUAGGCGGAAUCACUGGGCUUAAAGCGUGUGUAGGCGGAUCGUUAAGUGCCUUGUGAAAUCCCACGGCUCAACCGUGGAACUGCUUGGCAUACUGGCGGUCUUGAGCAACCUAGGGGCGAGCGGAACAAAUGGUGGAGCGGUGAAAUGCGUAGAUAUCAUUUGGAACGCCAAUGGUGAAAACAGCUCGCUGGGGGUUUGCUGACGCUGAGACGACGAAAGCCAGGGGAGCAAAGCGGGG